rnacentral:lncRNA from 1 species
CAAAAAAAAAAUAAAAUAAAAUUAGUAUUAGCAUAAUAUAUCAUUAUUUCUAUCCUUUUACUUUUGUCCUAUUCAUGUCUUUAUAUUUAGGUGAGAUUUUUAUGGGCAAGAUGUAGGUGAUUCUUGCCUUUUUUAUCCAAUCUUACAUUUCCUGUCUUUUAAUUGAGUGUUUAGACCAUUUACAUUCAAUAUGACUUUUGAUAUGGCCAAGUUUAAAUCUACCAUCUUGCUAAAUGUUUUCUAUUAGUUCAUACAUUUAUUCUUUGUUCCAUUUUUUUCUUUUUGGUUCCCAUGUGUUGUUUUGGAUCUACUGAAUAUUUUUAGGAUGCCAUUUUUAUCUCAUUUGUUAACUGAUUAGCUACACCUAUGUUACUUUAGAGGCUGCUUUAGAAUGUAUAGCAUAUAUUUGUAACUUAUCCAAGUCUACACAUUUAGGAUGUAUUAUAUCACUUCAUGUACAGUGUAAGAACCUUACAACAUUUUUCUCUUUAUCACUGAUUAUAAGCGACUUAAUUAGGAGGUGCCGUGGGUCUUGCUUUUUUUUAAGCAAGGAAGGCUACAGGAAUUUAGAGGAAAUUUUGCCCCACUUUUGACACAAAAAUCUUGUAUCACUUUACCUGCAAAUUAUGAGAUUUUCCAAUCUGGCUAAUGGGAACAGAAAUCACUCCCAGCCCUGCAUAAGCUCCAGCGAAUGUUCCCUCUGAUCUUUUUAAGUGGCUCUUUCCUGGGCCUUGGGUAGUUUCCCAUGUGCUCAGCUGAAGGCUUGCAGGAUGUCCUCUGUAGAUCUCUAGAAUGUUCUCUCUCCGUGUACAGCUCUUUCCUCUCGGGGACUCUGCCCUGUGAGUUCUAGCCACCUUGGCCUCCUCAACCUCCCACCUCUAUCUCCUCCACUCAUGAAGACUGCUGCACUCCACCUGGAUUUCCCCUUCCUUCAAUAUGUACCAGCGACGAGCUCUGACAAUUGCAGGGCUCACUUCAUUUAUUUCCCAUCUUUCAGGGAUAACUAUCCUUAACUGCCUGUUACCCAAUACCUUGAAAACCAUUACAUCGUAUCGG